rnacentral:tRNA from 1 species
GAGGGUAUAGCUCAGUGGCAGAGUAUGUGCUUAGCACACACGUGGUCCUGGGUUCAAUCCCCCGUAACUCA